rnacentral:misc_RNA from 1 species
GAUGAAGAACGCAGCGAAAUGCGAUAAGUAAUGUGAAUUGCAGAAUUCAGUGAAUCAUCGAAUCUUUGAACGCACCUUGCACCCUUUGGCAUUCCGAAGGGUAUGCUCGUUUGAGUGUCAUUGUACUCUCACACUUCUGAUCCUUUGGAUUGGGAGCGGUGGACUUGGGUGUUGCUGCCUUUCCCUGUGGCUCACCUCAAAUGCGUCAGUGCACCUCUUGGUUGGACAUAGUACGGCGUGAUAAGUGUCUUCGCCGGCACCUCGCAAGAGGGUGGCCGAUCGGGAGCUCUGCGCUUUCAAACCGUCUUCGGACAAUUUCUGACAUCUUGACCUCAAAUCGAGUAGGACUACCCGCUGAACUUAAGCAUAUCAAUAAGCGGAGGA